GGCAAGGUGGCCGAGUGGUUAUGGCGCUAGUUGUCAGUCUCCCUGAUUCUCAACCACCAAUUCUAAGCAUCUCAACUAACAACCAACUAGUUAGGUUCUACCAAAACACUAGUUUCUUUGAUUCGCGGGUUCGAAUCCCGUCCUUGUCA